rnacentral:misc_RNA from 1 species
GGGAGUUGGGUUUUCAGUUUUAUGUGAUAAUUUUUCUUUUCUGCUUGGCUGCUGAGAAAGAGAUAGAAGCUUUAAUUUAGUUGAGUUUUUUAAUUGAAAGAGUAUAACUUUUUGAUUGGAUUGGUUGUGGAGUUGCAAUCUGGGAAAUAGUUUUUUUUUUAAGAGUUGGAAAAUCAGAAACUAUUGACAUUCAUAGCUUUGCUUUGGACGUCUCUGAACCACUGCAAGUCUGCAAUGAAGAUGGUGGAGAUAAGCUUUUCAAGAUAGAUUUA